rnacentral:rRNA from 1 species
UACGUAGGGUCCAAGCGUUAUCCGGAAUCACUGGGCGUAAAGCGUUCGUAGGCGGUUUUUCAAGUUGGGUGUGAAAUCCUGUGGCUCAACCAUAUGGACUGUGCCCAAAACUGAAAGACUAGAGCAUAGUAGAGGCAAGUGGAACUUGCGGUGUAGGGGUGACAUCCGUAGAUAUCGCAAAGAACACCAAUGGCGAAGGCAGCUUGCUGGGCUAUGGCUGACGCUCAGGAACGAAAGCGUGGGGAGCGAACGGG